rnacentral:rRNA from 1 species
CGGAGAAAUCCGGACUAAUACCGCAUACACUUAGUUAUCCGCAUGGAUGAUUAAGGAAAGAUUUAUUGCUAAGAGAUAGGCAUGCGUUCCAUUAGUUAGUUGGUGAGGUAACGGCUCACCAAGGCAUCGAUGGAUAGGGGAGCUGAGAGGCUUAUCCCCCACAUUGGGACUGAGACACGGCCCAAACUCCUACGGGAGGCAGCAGUGAGGAAUAUUGGUCAAUGGAGGAAACUCUGAACCAGCCAAGUCGCGUGAAGGAUGACUGUCCUAUGGAUUGUAAACUUCUUUAGUAGGCGAGUAAACGUAGGUACGAGUACCUACCUGCAAGUAGCCUAAGAAUAAGUAUCGGCUAACUCCGUGCCAGCAGCCGCGGUAAUACGGAGGAUACGAGCGUUAUCCGGAUUUAUUGGGUUUAAAGGGUGCGUAGGUGGCAGAUUAAGUCAGUGGUGAAAAGCUGUGGCUCAACCAUAGUCUUGCCGUUGAAACUGGUUUGCUUGAGUACAGUUGAUGUAGGCGGAAUGCGUAGUGUAGCGGUGAAAUGCAUAGAUAUUACGCAGAACUCCGAUUGCGAAGGCAGCUUACAAAAGUGUAACUGACACUGAUGCACGAAAGCGUGGGUAUCAAACAGGAUUAGAUACCCUGGUAGUCCACGCCGUAAACUAUGAUUACUCAGAGUAUGCGAUAUAAUGUAUGCUCUCAAGCGAAAGCAUUAAGUAAUCCACCUGGGGAGUACGUCGGCAACGAUGAAACUCAAAGGAAUUGACGGGGGCCCGCACAAGCGGAGGAACAUGUGGUUUAAUUCGAUGAUACGCGAGGAACCUUACCUGGGAUUGAAAUGUAUAGGACAGGGGAUGGAAACAUUCUUUUUCUCUUCGGAGACUUAUAUGUAGGUGCUGCAUGGUUGUCGUCAGCUCGUGCCGUGAGGUGUCGGCUUAAGUGCCAUAACGAGCGCAACCCUUAUCGUUAGUUACUAGCAGGUAGUGCUGAGGACUCUAGCGAGACUGCCGUCGUAAGGCGAGAGGAAGGUGGGGAUGACGUCAAAUCAGCACGGCCCUUAUAUCCAGGGCGACACACGUGUUACAAUGGUGAGGACAAAGGGUAGCUACCUGGUGACAGGAUGCCAAUCUCCAAACCUCAUCUCAGUUCGGAUCGAAGUCUGCAACUCGACUUCGUGAAGCUGGAUUCGCUAGUAAUCGCGCAUCAG